CGUUCCCGAGGCCUUGUACCACCGCCCGUCACACCAUGAGAGUUUGUAACACCCAAAGUCGGUGGGGUAACCUUUUAGGAGCCAGCCGCCUAAGGUGGGACAGAUGAUUAGGGUGAAGUCGUACCAAGGUACCGUAGGAAAACCUGCGGCUGGAUCACCUCCUU
rnacentral:rRNA from 1 species